CUUCUGUGGUAUUUCUGGAUCCUUACCAAGGCAGUAAUGGUGUAUGCCUUCUCUCAAAGUAUGUGGUAUUUUUGGUAUGAGGCAUAGUGGCAUUGCCUUCUCUCUCACCCUUCUCUAAUAAGGUUUUGAUAUCUGGAAAUCAUAGAUGGGAGACAACUAAUACAUACUUACAAGACAUUUAUUGCAUAGUCAAACCAUAGAUCCAGAAGAACAAGUCAAUAAGUCAAAUCAAGAUGUGCAUGUGUGGCGAAUGAAUGGUGUAUGGUGAAGAUGGUGAUAACAAUGGUGAAAGUCUAAUUCUACUUGUGCUCUUUUGAGGGAUACAUACCUUGCUUGCUCUUUUGAAACUUUUUGAGGAGAAUGAGAUACUCUAUAUUUUCUUUUUCUUUUCUCUCGGGUGGGUAUCUUGUACCCCUAAUUCUACUGUCGGACACUUGUCCAUUUUUACCUCUCAUUGUUGACAUUCGUUAAGUGCAAUAAGAAUAAGAAAAAUUCCGCAAGCGCACAAAACAUCAUCGUAGCCACUUAAGCGUUAGUUGUCCAAGCUUUUUAGAUUUUUCUUAAAUCUUUUUCUAAGCAGAGUUUCAACAAGAUCUCUUUCUUAAUAUAUAUAUUUUUUUGGGUUUUAAUCUUUUUAUGAAGCAAAAGGAAAUGGAACAGGUGAAUGCAUGUUUAUUUACUUUUAUUUAUUUAUUUUUUUAUUCCACCACGAUGAAUAUCCGUGUAGGCUUUUACACACCACACAAUUUAUUCACAUGGGGUUUUAGUAUUUAAGAUGCAAUGAGUUAUAUAAAAUAUUUUUAUUAUAUUUUCUAAUGCAAUAAUAAUGCAGAAAGAUAAAUAUGUUAUGGAGAAAUGAUGAUGAAAAAUAAAUAUGCUAAAAACAAAUGCAGAAAAGAUAAAUACAAUAAACCUACUAAAGCUAGUGAUAUAUUAAAUUAGCAGACAUCAAGAUCAUUAUAAAAAUCUUCACACCAAUUGCUUCCCCGGCAACGGCGCCAAAAAUGCUUGUUGACAUUCGUCAAGUGCAAUAAGAAUAAGAAAAAUUCCGCAAGCGCACAAAACAUCAUCGUAGCAUUUUACCGGGAGUAUUCGAGGUAUCGUUAUUUAUAUUUUACCACUGGGAAGCUAAGGUCAAAGAAUCUGAUAACUUACUAUCAUGCAUCUACUAAUUUAAUAAACCAACUAGACUAAAGUAGGGGUAAAUGAUAUAUGAUAGGUAAUAAUAUAAAGGUGAGAAUUCUAUGAUAAAUGCGUAGAUAGCCAUAGCGGGAGGACAACGGGAGAGACCUAGGUUCCUCUAUACUUCUCUAUUACUUCAGUUCUAUGAUAACAAAGAAUGAAUAGAUAUUGCAAUCACAUAUUAGCACUUUGGGACAUCAGAACACCAACCACAGAAAGAGAACUAAAAGGGGGUUGGGAAGCUCUGACUACGGUCCUACAAACACCGAUCCGAACGAGGUGGAAUACGUCGACCGUUAGGGCUGUCACUACCCUAGGGCUACCACAACAAUCCGCAGGAAUGGGUGCAACCUCAGGUAACCUCUAGUAUAGACACCACGUCUACUCUAACGAUUACUACUCUAAUUACCACGAAUAACUAGAGCACUCGAUGCGAACGGAGAUCCUAUGCCAAAAUAUAACAACUACACUACUCGAUAAUUGUGGGGGUAUAAACCCCUAUACCCUUACGGCCAGAUUUGGGCCAGGAGGCUUGGCCCAUUACGAGAAAAGCUCAAGGUUUGAUCCGACAGCUUGGAGUUUCGCGCAAGGAAACAAGACGUGGAGAUCAAGCAGGAUUCUAGUCGGUUAGAAUAGGAAUUGAUAUCGAACUAUCUAUGGCAAUUGUAACCGACUAGGAUUAGUUUCCAGAUCUGUAACCCUGCCCUCUGGACUAUAUAAGGAGAGGCAAGGGACCCCCUAGGAUAUCAUAUUCUCUCAACACAAAUCAAUACAAUCAGACGCAGGACGUAGGUAUUACGCCAACUCGGCGGCCGAACCUGGAUAAAAAGCUUGUCUGUGUCUUGCGUCACCAUCGAGUUCGUAGUUUGCGCACCAUCUACCGAUAAACUACUACCGUGGGUAUACCCCAAGGUAGACUGCUGACCAGCUUUCGUCGACAGUGGCGCGCCAGGUAGGGGGUGUGCGUGCAACUUCUCCGGCGAACAAGAUGGUCACAAUCCCAGCUUCCGCGGCCGUGCCAGAAGGCCUCACGUUCACCGUCGGCCAGAUCACGUGGAUGACGCGCGGCGGUGGUCUCACGACCACGGUUUCGGAAGGAACCCAGAUCCAAUCUGGGAUCACGUCGGCUCCGACCACUCGGGUGACGGCACCGAGCGCCCGACCACCGCUCCCGCUCUACAAGGGAAAGAAGAUCGACUGCUCGGACCUUCUCCAAACACUUGACCGCGCCGAUUCCAAGCUACUUGAAGCUUCCCAACUAGUAGAUGGAAUCUUGCGCCAACCUGAUCAAGCUGCCCCAACGGAUUUUUUCAAAUCACAUCGGCCAACUCGUUUCGUUACACACGAACGGCUGGGAACGUCUCUCACGAUAACCUCAACUCCCUCGAGGCGAUCCGUCAAGAUCAAAGCUAACCCGGAGGAAGAUUAUCCUUGCGGUCUGAACAACUCGGCCUCUCUCUACUCGAGACACGUCCGAUCCCUCUUUAGCAAUGCUGGUUGGUCGCCAAAGGGGAGCGGUCGACCAGCUCGUCACUACGUCAACAUGGUGACGAUCCAAGAACUACGGGACGGCCAGGCUUCCAGCACAAAUUCGAGCAUUGGUUCCGUCCCCACUGAAGUCAUAAAUUCCGAGGACGAGGACUACGACUUGGAUUUGCCGUCACAUCCUCCGGGCUUCCCUCGUUUCCCGGUCUUCCCACCCCGGCGAGGAGACAUCGUUUUCAACGUCAGCGCCGACGAGCCGGUCGUCGACGGAGAAACAGACGAGCAGAGGCAGCUCCGCGAGCAGCGUAAUGCCGAUCGCGCCCGACGACGUGCGGACGAGGAACGUCAAAUCCCGCCGCAUAAUCUCAGCGACGCUUUUGACAUGGUCGGAGAUCAGCAAGUUUAUAAAACACCGAGCGCCAAUGUGGCCGUCGCCAUGGCCAAUCUAGAUCGGCUCCCUGAUACUCCCGAGUGCCAGGGGGUCCGAACCAGUGUACGGGCACACUUGAUCGCCGCGAUGGGACAGACAGCCACUCUGCUCAAAAGAGUCCAGGCCAUCUCCUAUACAGAAGCCACCUCUGACCAGACUCACCGUAGCCGGACCUCACCGCAGCCCAGCAGGCACCACCGCAGCCGUUCCCCCGACAACCAUCGAAAAGAUUCACGGCGUGACGACGACGGUCGGGAUGCUGGCAGUCACCGCGAGCAGAAUCGCGGGCGUGGUCAAGAAGUAAACCAGCACAGGGAUCUUCGGUAUAACAUCCCUCCUAAAGACGCUCGGGACCGCAUCAACAGGCGCGCCACGGAGAGAGCAGUCCACGAAAACCUGCGCCGUAUAGAGUAUGAUGCAACGCACGGCCCCCCGGGCCUGAGACAGUUCUCCUCACACCUCCGCCAGGUCGUGUGGCCCCGCAAUUUCAAGCUCGAGAAACUCAAAAAAUACGACGGCAAGGAAAAUCUAGAGAACUGAAUCACUCUCUACGAAAUCGCCGUCCGAUCAGCAGCAGGAGACGAGCACGUCAUGGCCAACUACUUCCCAGUAGUCCUCGACCAGGCUAGUCAUCAGUGGCUCCUUAGCCUACCCGAGGACUCCUUCGAUUCUUGGGAAGAGCUACGCCAGGCUUUCAUCGACAACUUCAUCGCUACAUGCGAGCAGCCUGGAAACAAGUACGACCUCGAAAGGAUAAGGGACAGUAAAAAUGAACCUCUGCGCGAUUACAUCCGACGAUUCUCGGAUAUGCGCCUUAAGAUCCCGAAGAUUUCCCACGACGAGGCCAUCUCUGCCAUCAUCAAAGUCCUACGUUUCCACGUGGCACUGAGGAACAAGCUGUUGCGCAAAAGGCCAACAACGAUGGCCGAGCUCCUUGCCACGGCUAAAAAUUACGCCGAUGCCUACGACGCAGAAAAACUAAUCCGGGACGAUGCGAGAGGUCCCGACGAGCCUCCUCGGCGAGAUGACAGUCGUGGUCGUUUCAACAACAGGAACCACCGUCGCCCCGACAACCGUGAUCAAAGAGAAGGCUGGGACAGGCGGCGCGACAAUCGCGACGAUUUCAGAGGAAAGCGCCCCCGUGACCACGACCACGAAGUGAAUACGGUCAAGCGUCCCAACGGGCGGCGGGACUACCAAGAAGACUACAACAAAACGUUGAAGGGACCGUGUCAGCUGCACCCAAAGUCCAAUCAUACCAUGGAAGAGUGCUGUGUCCUCAAAAACAUCUAUACGCGGCGGGCCGCCCAAGACGACUCUUCCAAGAAAAAUGGAAAACGAGACGGGCACGACCACGAAGACGAGGACGAGGACCAAGAUAGGGACCCACAACACCAAUAUGUCAGUCCCACCGACGUGGUCCACUCCAUCUUCAGGGGCAAGGUCUCCAUCGAAUCUAAGCGAGAAAGAAAGCUAUUAAAAAGAGCCUGCCUCAACAUAGACAGCACGGACGGCCUGAUCGCAGACCCGAAAUUUCCCCCGUGGUCGCACAAGGAGAUCUCCUUCAGCAGGAAGGAUCAGUGGGCCGCUAUCCCAGAGCCAGGUCGUUUCCCUCUAAUCUUGGACCCUUGCAUCAACAGCAUCAGAUUCGAGCGCGUGCUCGUGGAUGGAGGAAGCUCCAUUGACAUCCUCUUCCGCAACAGCCUGCCCGCUCUCAAGAUAUCUCCGGCACAACUAAAACCCUACGAUGCUCAAUUCUGGGGAGUCUUGCCAGGUCAGAGUUCAGUGCCCCUCGGACAGAUAACAUUGCCUGUCCAAUUCGGCACGCCCGACCACUUUCGGACAGAGUUCGUCAACUUCGUGGUCGCCGACUUCGAUGGGACCUACCACGCCAUACUAGGCCGACCAUCGCUGACAAAAUUCAUGGCGGUCCCGCAUUACUCAUACCUGGUCCUCAAAAUGCCUACGAAGAAGGGCGUCUUGACCGUCAGAGGCAAUGUCUACACUGCAUAUACUUGCGAGGAAGAGAGCUUCAAGAUCACCGAAGCAAUUGAUCUCUCAAUCCGGAUGGCAGAAACAGCAACCCAAGCCGCACAGCUACCUCCAGAUCAGCUCCAACUACCUGAGCAGGAGACUGCCAGGAAGAAUUCAAAAUCCAAGGAGCAUAAAGAAGUACAAUUGGUCGACGGCAGCCCCGAGAAGACGGCCCUCAUCGGGGCCAAUCUGGACCCUAAAUAGGAAGACGCGCUCGUCAGGUUUCUAAGGGACAACGUGAGCGUUUUCGCAUGGAAACCCGCAGACAUGCCAGGCGUCGCACGAAACCUGAUCGAGCACUCCUUAAACGUCUCGAAAACCGCAAGACCAAUCAAGCAAAAGCUGCGACGGUUCGCUCGUGACAAAAAGGAGGCUAUUAGGACAGAAAUAACAUGGCUUCUAGCAGCUGGAUUCAUAAAAGAAGUGUAUCACCCCGAUUGGCUUGCCAAUCUGGUUCUUGUACGCAAAAAGAAUAAUGAAUGGAGAAUGUGCGUUGAUUACACCGAUCUCAAUAAACACUGUCCUAAAGAUCCUUUUGGUCUCCCUCGCAUCGACGAGGUGGUCGACUCAACGGCCAGAUGCGAACUCCUCUCUUUUCUCGACUGCUACUCUGGUUAUCACCAGAUCUCGCUAAAAGAAGAUGAUCAGAUAAAAACAUCUUUCAUUACUCCUUUCGGUGCAUAUUGCUACACGACGAUGUCAUUCGGACUCAAAAAUGCCGGAGCCACCUAUCAACGGGCCAUCCAACAGUGCCUCCAUGACGAGAUUCGUGAUGACCUCGUCGAGGCCUAUGUAGACGACGUAGUCGUCAAAACAAGGGAUGCAAGCACCCUAAUCGACAACUUAGACCGAACCUUUAAGGCGCUAAACAGGUGCAAGUGGAAGCUUAACCCCAAAAAGUGCAUCUUCGGCGUCCCGUCCGGUCUACUACUCGGCAACGUCGUCAGCCGCGACGGCAUACGGCCGAAUCCUUCAAAAGUAAAAGCAGUACUCGACAUGCGACCACCCAAAAAUGUCAAGGAUAUUCAGAUGCUCACCGGAUGUAUGGCCGCACUCAGCCGCUUCAUCUCAAGACUAGGAGAAAAAGGCCUCCCUUUCUUCAAACUCUUGAAGGCGUCGGAAAAGUUCUCCUGGACAGAGGAAGCCGACGCUGCGUUUACCCAGCUUAAGACUUUCCUCACUUCCCCGCCUGUUCUCACAGCGCCUCAGCCCAAUGAAGACCUACUCCUUUACAUUGCUACAACCGACAGGGUUGUUUCCACGGCAAUAGUGGUCGAGCGAGACGAGCCAGGUCAUGUCUACAAGGUCCAGCGACCCGUUUACUUCAUAAGCGAAGUCCUAAACGAGUCCAAGGCCAGAUACCCACAAAUACAGAAGCUCAUAUACGCCAUUCUAAUAACGUCGAGAAAGCUAAAGCACUACUUCGACGGCCAUCGAGUCUUGGUAACCACCAGUUUCCCUCUUGGGGACAUUCUGCGCAAUAAAGACGCCAACGGCAGAAUUGUAAAAUGGGCAAUGGAAUUAUGCCCAUUCUCCCUAGAGUUCCAGAGCCGCACCACAGUCAAGUCUCAGGCCCUGGUCGAUUUCAUUGCAGAAUGGACGGAUCUCAAUGAGCCUCCCGUUCCCGACGUCUCCGACCACUGGUCAAUGUUCUUCGACGGGUCCUUGAACAUCAACGGCGCCGGCGCGGGGAUUCUCUUCGUAUCGCCCAACAAGGACAAACUGCGUUACGUCCUUAGGAUCCUUUUUCCGGCAUCCAACAAUGUCGCCAAAUACGAAGCAUGCCUUCACGGCAUACGAUUAGCCGUUGAGUUGGGAGUCAAACGCCUUUAUGUCUAUGGCGACUCCGCUUUAGUUAUCUAUCAGCUCAACAAGGAAUGGGACGCAACCCACGAGAAGGUGGAUCUCUACUGCAAAGAAAUUCGCAAAUGGGAAACCAACUUCUAUGGCAUAGAGUACAUCCACGUGGUCCGAGAUAAGAACCAGACAGCAGAUGCGUUGUCAAAGUUAGGGUCAUCUCGGGCCCAGAUACCGCGAGGUGUUUUCGUCCAGGACAUCCAUGAGCCAAGUGUGGGCAAUGACCCGCCCGAAAAGCAGCCUAUUGAGGCAAUGCUCAUAGACGACGUUACUCCGACAACCAGUAACCGCGAUUGGCGCACCCCAUUCAUCAGAUAUAUAUCAGACGGGUCAGGCUUUCAGGAUAAAACAGAAAACGAGCGCCUCAUUCGACGAUCAAAGAAUUACAUACUGGUGGACGGCAAACUUAUGCGAAAAAAUGCAAGUUCUGAAGUGCUGCUCAAGUGCAUAUCCCAAGAUGAUGGCAUCAAGCUCCUAGACGACAUACACGCCGGAUCCUGCGGCAACCACGCUGCCUCCAGAAUGCUGGUCGGGAAAGCUUUCCGAGCAAGUUUCUAUUGGCCAACCGCGGUCAACGACGCAGAAAAACUGGUCUGACACUGUGAGGGAUGCCAGUUCUUCGCUAAAAGGACCCACAUACCUGCUCAUGAGAUUCAAACUAUCCCGUCGUCCUGGCCUUUCAUCUGCUGGGGGCUCGACAUGAUCGGGCCAUUCAAACCGGCCCCUGGUAAUUUCAAGUUCGUCUUCGUAUUAAUCGACAAGUUCUCAAAGUGGAUUGAAUAUAUGCCACUGGUCAAAGCAACCUCCGAGAAGGCCGUGGAGUUCCUCAAUCAAAUCAUACACAGAUUCGGGAUCCCAAACAGUAUAAUCACCGACCUGGGUACUCAGUUCACUGGCACCACAUUUUGGGACUUCUGCGAUGACAGAGGCAUAGUCAUAAAAUACGUGUCAGUAGCUCACCCACCGGAAAAUGGCCAAGUAGAACGUGCAAACGGAAUGAUCAUCGACGCCCUAAAGAAAAGGUUGUACACCGAGAAUGACAGAGCACCUGGUCGAUGGAUGAAAGAGUUGCCGGCCGCGGUCUGGGGUCUCCGAACACAGGCUAGUCAGAACACCGGGGUGUCACCCUACUUCAUGGUUUACGGCACCGAAGCAGUGCUGCCAUCUGAUAUAACCUUCGGAUCUCCAAGGAUUGAAAACUUCGACCAGUCAACGGCCGACAACACCAGGGAACUCAAAAUCAACUGCAUGGAAGAAAAGCGCCUAAAUUCGUGCCUUCGAACAGCAAAGUAUCUUGCGGCAAUCAAACGAUACCACAACAGGAACGUUAAAGACCGUUCCUUCGUGGUCGGCGAUCUGGUACUCAGGUGGAAAACAAGCCAGGAAGGAAUGCAUAAGCUAUCCACUCCUUGGGAAGGACCCUUUGUGGUCGCCGAAGUCACACGACUCGCAUCCUACAGAUUGGCAUAUCCAGACGGAACACGCGUGCCUAACUCUUGGCACAUAGACAAGCUAUGCCGAUUUUAUCCAUAAGUUCUAGUAACUUUUGCUUGUAAGUCUCUUAUAGUUGGCAAUAAUAAAAGUUUUCUCUUUUUGGCUAUACUUUGUUUACACGCAGAGCUUUCGGCGAAGAGCACCAUUGUCCUCUGCGACGGAAACUAUUAACGACCAUGAAAUCAAACACAGUGACACGUCACUCAGAUAACUUCACAGCGCUCAAAAUAACAGUCAUGACAAAAGCAAACUUUAUUAAAAACUUUACAUACAAAGUUUACAAUAAAUACCCUGACGGGCGGUCACUAGUCUACUCCUACACACUACUCUACUGGCCUACUGCUCGGGCUGAUCACCCGCUUGGCCUUGCUGCCCGGACGAAGGGGUCGGGGCCACCGGCGCUUGGCUGGUCGAGACCGCAGGCGUCGACCGCCCAUCUCCCGCAAUAGACGCACCAGACAGCUCCCUGGCCGACCUGUCUGAGCCCGGCUGGUCGGGGGGAGUGGCCAUUCUGCAUAGAUUGAUGUCGCCGAUCACCGUCGACGACAAGUCCAGCAGACCACCCCGAAUCUCGUCCGCUUCCUGCGGGCCGACCUCUUUGGGAUACCCCUUCUCCAGCCUGGUCAAGUCGACCAGGGGGUAGUGGGCGCGCACCAUGCUAAGGAUAUGCGCGCCAGCAAACUCCCCGGCGUCCUUCACGAACUGCUAGAGCCAGUCCCACGCUCGUUGCGCCUUUUCAACUGGCGUCAAUUUCGGCGCGCGGGGCUGGCUCUCCGGGAGCUCGGGACUGAUCAAGUCCAGGACCGGGGCCACUCCUUUCCAAAUCCUGCAACAGUUCACCUUCCAGGAGUCCCGAUCCUUGACCAGCUCGUCCAAGUGCUUCUUGGCGUUCACCUUGAGCACUGAAAAUCAAGGAAGAUGUUAGUCUCAACGUAUCAAAAAGAGCGAGAAGUGGCAAAUAAUGGGGGCGGCGCGUAAUACCAGACAACUCCCGGUCCCUCCGGCCCAGCUCCUCCCCUGCUCGGCGCCCGGCCUCCAGCGCCCUGGCAAGCUCUUGGCUGAGCUGCUCUUUCUCUUGCCGAAGGCGCGCGACCUCCUCCUCUAAGCCUACAUGAAUAAUCCCCAGGUCAGCAAAGUCAACCAACGCGGUUACAUACAGCCGCCUAGAAGUACGAGACUGACCUUCUCGCUGCCGAUACUGGUCGGCUAAGCAUCGAGUAAGCUCGAGACGGUGCUCUUCCUGAGCGUUCAUCUCGGCCACCUUCUCUCCGACCUCCGACCGCAGCCGGUCCACCUCUGCGGACAGGGCCUUGUUCUCGGCCACAAUACCUUCUAUUUGGUCGAAGCACCUCUUUCGGUACUUCGCCGUUUUCAUUGCGCCCUGCAAAGAAGAACAUGCGUCGACCCAUCAAGAUAACACAAAAAGUGCCAAGCAGCGCAAAGGAUCACUUACCUUGACUUCAUCCAUGAGACGCUUGGCCGCACGCUCCACCCUGUCGGCCUCCUCCGUCUCCGUGAGCUCCUCAUGCCCGAUGAAGUGGUCCCCGCGUUGGCGCCACACGUAUACGUGCUGGCGACCAUCACGGGGGCGACCUUCAAUUUCCUCCACCUCAUCGUCGGAGGCCGUCUGGGUUCCCUCGUUCGCUGCACCGCCACCAUUCGUGGUCGCAGGCAUCACCGGCCCCUGGACCAGGCCCGGGGAGCCCGCAGACGAAGAGGCCCCUGCUCGGGGUGGCGAUGGGACCCCCUCUCUUCGCCGGGGGGAGGGGUCGGGGCUCUGUCUUCCCCCUCCGCGACGCUACUCGGGGGAGCGGUCCUUGCUGCCUCCCCAUCCCUCGGCGGAGUGCUCGCCGCGGCACUCGCCGGGGCAGACUCUCCCUCGGCGCCUGUAGCAGCAGCCGUCGCCGCAGGCUGGUCUGUGGUCUGCGGCGCCGCGUCCUUUGCAGCACAAGCAGGCUCGGCCACCCCCUGGCCGGCGGCGUGGUCGGGGUUGACGUCCGACGCCGCGCUAAAGAACAAAGCAGCAUUUUCAGCAAAAAAAAAUCGCCAAAGAACGUAAGUCGAACACUUACAGGUCUGAUCGGCGAUGGGCCGCAGUGAACCUCCUCCUAGCCCUACCGGUCGGCACCUGCGCCCCCGUUUCCGUAACGCGUGGCGCCGGAGGGUCGCUGGCCACCCGAUCAGUAGUGGCCGGUGCACUGUCCGGAUGGCUACGAGGCCUUCGGACCAGCGACGGCGCGGCCUCCUCCUCCUCCUCGUCGUCGUCGGUGAUCCGGACGAGCCGACGACGCUUUGGCGCCUGGCUGCUCUCUGCUGGCAGCGUCGGUGUAGGCGAAGGAUCCGCCGCCAUUGGCCUUUUCCCCGCCACUCUCUCCUCGGUGGUCGGGACGGGCCGGACCUGUUCCUCCUCACUGCUGGUGUAACGAGUACAUCGAGCAGCGUCUUCCUCCGGCGGAUCUUCUCCCGCAGGAUUCUCCAUUCCAGGUGCCAGUGACACGUACACCGUGCACCGGUCAACAUCUCCGAUCUGCAAAAGUAACAAAGAUAAGUCAGCAGCAGAUAAUAACGGAUGCUAAAGUGAAAUAAUCAGUAAGAUACCUUAGGUGCCGGUCGCCCUAACUUGAAGGCUUGCACCCGAUCACUACCACGGACGAAGCCUCCAUCCGCAAAGUUGAACAGCUCGUUCAACAGUUGUUGCACUUCUGACUUCUCCAAGACCUCAGGAAGCAUCCUGGUCGGGUCCACGCUUCCGGCAUACUCGUACGCCGAGUGCACCCUCUUCUGGCAGGGCAUCACCCGGCGACAAAUAAAGAUACCGACCACGCCUAGCCCGUCCAAGCGCGACCAGUCGAUCAGCUUCAUCAGGUCCGCCACUUGACCGUCGAACUCUGGGCGAUCGGUCCAGCUUACCCUCUUCUCGGGGAUGUACCCCACGUCGCAGAACGUGGAGCUGCCCGGUUCUUCCAUGAUAUAGAACCACUUCCGGUACCAUUCGGUUAGGGAAGUGUUCCAUGGACAGUGCAGAUAACGGUUCUUCAUCCCGUCGCGAAGGUUGAGGUAUACUCCACCUGCAACCUUGGAGCCUCCAACCGCUCCCUUCUUUCUUAAACAAAAAAGAUAGCGAAAGAGAUCGAAGUGCGGUUCUAUGCCAACAUAGGCCUCGCACAAAUGGAUAAAAGUGGAAAUAAGAAGGAUUGAGUUCAGAUGCAGAUUGCAAAUCCCGAUCUCGUAAUACAAAAGAAGACCUUGAAGAAAAGGAUGAACAGGAACCCCAAAACCCCUCUUAACGAAGUCCUCAAACACUACGAUCUCACCGGCAUGGGGAUCGGGGAAGCUCUCCCCCUCCGGCGCUCUCCAGCCGCCGAGCUCCGGGCUGUGCAAUAGCCCCAUAUCGACGAGGUCACCAAGAGACUUCGCGGUGCUGCGGGACUUCUUCCACUCGUUGGCCAUCAGCUCGGCCCUCUUCUUCGAGUCGCUCUUCGCCAUUGGAGGUGCGGGAGUGACUUUGAGCUAGGAAGGUGUAGGUGAUUGAAGGAGGCAAGAGCGGAAGGCUUGAAGGCAAUGGCAGGGUAAGCAGUGCAGGGGUAACCGUCGAGAUCUUAUAAACCACAACUUCACCCCUCCCACUUCCCGCAUUCUUGGGAAGUGGGCGGGCCAUACGGCAAACGCGCCGCUUCGGUUUUCAAUGAUUAUUGGCAAUUAAUGCGGCGGAGUUUUCGUACAAAUUGAUGGUUUUCUUUUCUCAAACCGCGCAAAAGGCGGCUGCACAGUUGCCAGGCGCACCUUUUCAUGCAGCCAUCUGACAUCCCGUCAGGAGGUCUCGUCACGUCAACAUUUAUGUGGUAAAAUUUUUCAAAACAAGCAUACAAAAAUGGUAGAGAAUCAACAAUCUGAGGACUGCACCGACCACUGAGCACUUGAUGCUCGGGGACUGGUCGCCCAGUCUAUCAACUCGGAACCUCAAGGACUACACCGACCACCGAGCACUUGAUGCUCGGGGACUGGUCGCCCAGUCUAUAAAAUCGGAAAUUCAAGGACUGCACCGACCACCGAGCACUUGAUGCUCGGGGACUGGUCGCCCAGUCUAUCACUCGGAACUUCAAGGAAUGCAACGACCAUCGAGCACUUGAUGCUCGCGGACUGGUCGUCAAAUUUGUUGGGACUGUACCGACCACCAAGCGCUUGAUGCUCGGGGACUGGUCGCCUAGUCUAUUAGUUCGGGAAUCAGCGGGCCGUAUCGAUCUCCGAGCAUUGUACACCUGGGGACUGGUUGAUCAGCUCGUCAAAUUGAUAAGUCUAUUCGAUGGUAAAUAAGCAUGAGAUGCUUGAGGACUGGAUAAUUUUAAUUUUUUAGACCUUGCUACAAGGCUCAUACUUCGCCUUCUAGCAAGCUCGGGGACUACAUCGGUACGAUGCAUCUGGCGAUGCAUCUCAGUUUCAAAACUACUUUGGGAAAUUUUCUUUUGACCCUGGCACCACGUGCCUACGUCACCUACUACCAGGCUCGGGGACUAAGUGGGCACACUUCACCUUGCAGUGAACUUGCAUGCUUUUUUGAGGACUGUACUUUUCAGAAAAGUAAAGUGGGCACACUUCACCGAAAAAGAAAUAUUUUUUCUCAAGAGCACCAUGCAUUCUUCAAACAAUUGACUUCUUCGAUGAUGAUUUUGAUCAAAUAUCUUUAGAUUUGGUCAAAAUACCGUUGCAAUCGCUUGGGCGAUUUUCAUGUUGAUUGAAGACGUCAAGCUUCACUGGUCGAAGAAGCUCAAGACAGCGUGUUACUCCACAAUACAUGGUGCUCGGGGACUAGCUGUGGGGGUAUAAACCCCUAUACCCUUACGGCCAGAUUUGUUCCACGAGGCUUGGCCCAUUACGAGACAAGCUCAAGGUUUGAUCCGACAGCUUGGAGUUUCGCGCAAGGAAACAAGACGUGGAGAUCAAGCAGGAUUCUAGUCGGUUAGAAUAGGAAUUGAUAUCGAACUAUCUAUGGCAAUUGUAACCGACUAGGAUUAGUUUCCAGAUCUGUAACCCUGCCCUCUAGACUAUAUAAGGAGAGGCAAGGGACCCCCCUAGGAUAUCAUAUUCUCUCAACACAAAUCAAUACAAUCAGACGCAGGACGUAGGUAUUACGCCAACUCGGCGGCCGAACCUGGAUAAAAAGCUUGUCUGUGUCUUGGGUCACCAUCGAGUUCGUAGUUUGCGCACAGUCUACCCAUAAACUACUACCGUGGGUAUACCCCAAGGUAGACUGCCGACCAGCUUUCGUCGACAAUAAUAAUAAAGGCAUAAAAGUAAAUAGAGAAGAUAAAUAUAUUAAAACAUAAGUCUUACAAUAAAUAUAAAAACAUACCAAAACUCUGAAGACUUCUCCAGAACCGAAGCGCAGCUCCACUCUCCCUAACUCCCGACUAGAACUAAUCUACUACAUUGGAAUUUCUAGCCCUAAUUCUCUAUAGAGGAAAGGUUAUCCUUCGAGGGCACAUCUCAACUCUAUAAUGAUGUGUUCUCCUCCAGGGGCCAGGGGCCUUGCUUAUAUAGCCUCCUCCUUUAUGCCUUUUUGGUUCAGCAGGCGAUGUGGUACUAAACUUUCCACCAUAUCUCAUUAAAAUGCACAUGGGCCUUAAUGGACCAAAAUCUGAUUUGGCCCAAUUAAUCCCACAGCUCUUUUAUGUGGAGUCCUUCUUUUAUUAAUAUCUCUUGAUUCCGAUCUCCAAAUAUAGCAAAUAAUAUAUGCUUUUCGAUCAGCUCGACGAGAUCUUUUUAAUGGUGUACUCCAUUCUGUGAUUGGUGCUUGUACCAGGGCGGGCGCCCUGGCCCCGGGCCCGUCUCGACUCCGCUUCGGUCGAGUUGCUUCUAGAGUCUUCCUGAUUAUGGAAAAUUACCGCACACAUUAAUUCUCUAUGUAAACCCGACGUGUGGGCCUUUCCUUCAUAUUUCCUGAUAACCCCGUGCAGAAAUAGACAAACACCAAAACUCGUGGAAAUCUGUCAGAUGAAACCCUAAGUCUAGGUGUCGGUUGCAUUUGGAUCCUUUUUCAUGAUUAGUUGACGGUUAAAUGUGAGCAUUAAGGACCGUCAACAAGCUCCCCCAAGCUUAACCUUUGCUCGUCCCUAAGCAAAGAUAGACUCAAGAGUUUCUGUAGUGGUUUCAUGCCUUAAAGGUACACAUGCGUUCAAACAAGAUCUCAUCUCUGGGUUAGGGUAAACUGUUAAGAUUUAAACUUACUCAUUUUACCUUCCACCAUGGGGCUUGCAACCGUCACUUAUGUCUUGAGCAGUUAAAAGAUAGAACGGUCUAGUCAAGCGCCAUGUCUCUUGUUCUUCGAUUAACUAUAGCUUUGGAGUUUUUACAGAUUUUCAAAUAAAACUCAGAGAUUCCUUGUAUGACUCUCAAAGUAUGUGGUAUUUUGGGUAUGAGGCAUAGUGGUAUUGCCUUCUUUCUCACCCUACUCUAAUAAGGUUUUGAUAUCUAGAGCUCAUAGGUGGGAGACAACUAAUACAUACUUACAAGACACUUAUUGCAUAGUCAAACCAUGGAUCCAGAAGAACAAGUCAAUAAGUCAAAUCAAGAUGUGCAUGUGUGGCGAAUGAAUGGUGAUAAUGGUGAAAAUAAUGGGUGAAAGUCUAAUUCUACUUUUUCUCUUUUGAGGGGGUACAUACCUUUCUUGCACUUGAGGCUUUUGAGGGGAAUGAGACGCUCUAUAUUUUAUUUUUCUUUUCUCUCAGGUGGGUAUCUUGUACCCCUAAUUCUAUUGUCGGACACUUAUCCAUUUUUACCUCUCGUCUCACUUUUUCUUUUGUUUCCUCGUAUUCACUUUUUUUUCAGAGCACUCACCCUCCUGGAAUAAUGUAGCAAGUGGUAGUAACCAAAAUAUCUCGAGCAUUUAUUUUACGGGAAAUAACAGGGAUAGGAUAAUGUUUUUGGCUAUUCUCUCCUAUAUAGGAGUAGAAUAAUUCUGGGUGAAUCUGGAUAUGGAAGUGAGUGGAUGUAUGUGGAUGCGUACUUCUGGAGUAGAAGCAGCAUGUAUGAGUGAACGUGCAAGUGAAUCUUGAUUUUAACCGCAUGACAAGCUCCUAAGGGUCUACACAGCUUGACCACACUCAAUGCUCAUAAGCAGUAAAAAGUAAAUAUAUGGUUCAUAGUCUAAUAAGCUUGUAUAUAUGGCUGUGGUAGGAUUUUAAACUCUCAUCAUAUAGGAACUCAUCAUGCAACAUUUUAAAGAUUUUCAAAGAUAAAAUUCUCUAGAAUUCUAGCAUCUCCAGGAAUAGAUAAACAACAACUCAACAUUCCCAUAUCGUAUCUGUUAACGACUUAGACUUUUGAUCAGGUACUCUUUUCGCAAAUUCAGGUUUAGAGCAAGCUUUAAAUUAUAACAGUUAUGCCUAAACUUGAGAGAGAGCUCAAAUUUGAAAACUAGGUACUUGGCAGAGCAACUAUUCAUCAUAUCCAUGUAAGAGUUUAUCAUUGAAGUUCAGUUUGGCAU
rnacentral:lncRNA from 1 species